GGGAUUUCCUAUUCCUAAUUUGACCUGGUGGACACCAACUUUCCUAGUAAAUUGCUGAUGUUGCUGAGGAGGCAGCAGUAUCAAAGUCCUUGUGGAUGAAGAUACAACAAAUUUUGGGAGGCUUUGUCAUUUCUAUACAAUCCUGCUCCCUGAUUGUGACCCAAGACUAAGAUUCUGAAUGAAGCAAAGCAAGCUAGAGGAAAACUGUAUGUCCUGUCUCCAAAACUCCAUAUUAUAGCUGAUCUUCAUCUCGGAUCUGAAAAGCUUCACAGGCCAAAAGAGAAUUGAGAUGAGGAAGGAAGCAGAGAAUGCUGAUGAAUAUUUCCAAUUACCACCCCAACUUAUGUCUUGGUUCUUCACAUCA